rnacentral:rRNA from 1 species
GAGCGUACUUGUGUCGCCGCUCUKCAUCCUUCGGACGAACGUGUCUGGCAUUAGRUUGYCGGGCUCGGCAGWCCGAUCAUUUACUGUGAAAAAAUUAGAGUGUUUAAAGCAGGCGUUWGCUGUGAAUACAUUAGCAUGGAAUAAUAAGAUAGGACUUUGGUGCUAUUUUGCUGGWUUGCACACCAAGRKRAUGAUUAAUAGGGAUAGUUGGGGAUAUUCAUAUUCAAUUGUCAGAGGYGAAAUUCUUGAUUUAUGGAAGAUGAACUUAUGCGAAAGCAUUUACCAAGGAUGUUUUCAUUAAUCAAGAACGAAAGUUAGGGGAUCGAAGAUGAUUAGAUACCAUCGUAGUCUUAACCAUAAACUAUGCCGACUAGGGAUUGGCGGGUGUUACUUUAAUGACCCCGUCAGCACCUUAUGAGAAAUCAAAGUCUUUGGAUUCCGGGGGGAGUAUGSUCGCAAGGCUGAAACUUAAAGGAAUUGACGG